rnacentral:rRNA from 1 species
AGCAGCCGCGGUAAUUCCAGCUCCAAUAGCGUAUAUUAAAGUUGCUGCAGUUAAAAAGCUCGUAGUUGAAUUUCGGGACCAUCAUGUCGGUCGUGCCUCGGUACGUACUGGUACUGUUGGUUUCUCCCUUCUGACGAACCAUGAUGUCAUUUAUUUGGUGUUGUGGGGAAUCAGGACUGUUACUUUGAAAAAAUUAGAGUGUUUAAAGCAGGCUCACGCUUGAAUACAUUAGCAUGGAAUAAUGAAAUAGGACGUUUGAUUCUAUUUUGUUGGUUUCUAGGAUCGACGUAAUGAUUAAUAGGGAUAGUUGGGGGCAUUAGUAUUCAAUUGUCAGAGGUGAAAUUCUUGGAUUUAUUGAAGACUAACUACUGCGAAAGCAUUUGCCAAGGAUGUUUUCAUUAAUCAAGAACGAAAGUUAGGGGAUCGAAGACGAUCAGAUACCGUCGUAGUCUUAACCAUAAACUAUGCCGACUAGGGAUCGGAUGAUGUUAAUUUUUUAAUGACUCAUUCGGCGCCUUAC